AUUGGUAAGAAAACUGGCUGGC
rnacentral:piRNA from 1 species